CCUACGUGUGGCAGCAGUGAGGAAUAUUGGUCAAUGGACGCAAGCCUGACGCAGCGACGCCGCGUGAGGGAUGAAGGUCUUCGGAUCGUAAACCUCUGUCAGCAGGGAAGAACGGUCACUGUGCUAAUCAGCAGUGAAUUGACGGUACCUGCAAAGGAAGCACCGGCUAACUCCGUGCCAGCAGCCGCGGUAAUACGGAGGGUGCGAGCGUUAAUCGGAAUUACUGGGCGUAAAGCGCUCGUAGGCGGUAUGUCAAGUCAAGGGUGAAAUCCCCGCGCUCAACGUGGGAACUGCCUUUGAAACUGGCAAACUGGAGUGUGUGAGAGGAUAGUGGAAUUCCAGGUGGAGGAGUGAAAUCCGUAGAUAUCUGGAGGAACAUCAGUGGCGAAGGCGACUAUCUGGCACAUAACUGACGCUGAGGAGCGAAAGCGUGGGUAGCAAACAGGAUUAGAUACCCGAGUAGUC
rnacentral:rRNA from 1 species